CUUUAUGUCAUGCACUCUUUAGAAACUGUAUGAAUUAUUAGGAAUUAAAUUGAUUUGCACCAGUCUUUACCGUCCGCUGAGCGAUUGG